rnacentral:rRNA from 1 species
GAUGAACGCUGGCGGCGUGCCUAAUACAUGCAAGUCGAGCGAACAGACGAGGAGCUUGCUCCUCUGACGUUAGCGGCGGACGGGUGAGUAACACGUGGAUAACCUACCUAUAAUACUGGGAUAACUUCGGGAAACCGGAGCUAAUACCGGAUAAUAUAUUGAACCGCAUGGUUCAAUAGUGAAAGACGGUUUUGCUGUCACUUAUAGAUGGAUCCGCGCCGCAUUAGCUAGUUGGUAAGGUAACGGCUUACCAAGGCAACGAUGCGUAGCCGACCUGAGAGGGUGAUCAGCCACACUGGAACUGAGACACGGUCCAGACUCCUACGGGAGGCAGCAGUAGGGAAUCUUCCGCAAAGGGCGAAAGCUUGACGGAGCAACGCCGCGUGAGUGAUGAAGGUCUUCGGAUCGUAAAACUCUGUUAUUAGGGAAGAACAAAUGUGUAAGUAACUAUGCACGUCUUGACGGUACCUAAUCAGAAAGCCACGGCUAACUACGUG